CGACUCUGGUUUCUCUUCAUUACGCACAAGCCUUUCGCCUUUUACUAAAGACCUCCGUGGAGAGGAACACUUACGAGUUCAACGUAUUUUUUUGGAAGGGCUUUGCUUCUGGCAGAGCC
rnacentral:snRNA from 8 species